rnacentral:rRNA from 1 species
GACGAGCCACACAAACGUUAUUCGGAAUCACUGGGCUUAAAGUGUGCGCAGGCGGUUUCGCAAGUCAAGUGUGAAAGCCCCGGGCUUAACCUGGGAACUGCGCUUGAAACUACGGAACUCGAGUAUGGCAGAGGAAGGUGGAAUUCCACGUGUAGCGGUGAAAUGCGUAGAGAUGUGGAGGAACACCGAUGGCGAAGGCAGCCUUCUGGGCCAAUACUGACGCUCAUGCACGAAAGCGUGGGGAGCAAACAGG